GCCCUUGUGGCUUAGUGGUAUAGCGUCGCUCUCGUAAAGCGAAGAUCGAGAGUUCGAUUCUCUCCGGGGGCA